rnacentral:lncRNA from 1 species
CAAGUCCAAUUAUAAAUCCACUAACUCUCAUUAAAUAAACCCCAUCCAUCAUUCAAUCCCAAGUAAACCAGCAAGAAAUCCGCAACUAUCUAUGGAAACCUUGUAUCUCUACCUUCCACUUUUCCUAGCAUUAUACAUCUUCACCAAGCACUUCCUCAACAAAAUCCGAAACCUUCCACCUAGUCCCAUCCUUAAUCUCCCCGUCCUCGGCCACCUCCUCCUCAUCAAGAAGCCUCUUCACCGAGGCCUAGCCAAGAUUUCCGACCGUCAUGGCCCGGUCCUCCUCCUGGAAUUCGGCUCACGCCCAGUCCUCCUUGUCUCCUCCGCUUCUGCAGCCGAAGAAUGCCUCAACAAGCACGACAUCGUUUUCGCCAACCGCCCGCGUCUGCUGGCUGGAAAACAUCUGGGAUACAAUUAUACCUCAAUGGCAUGGACGUCCUACGGGGAUCACUGGAGAAAUCUACGGCGGAUAGCUUCACUGGAGAUCUUGUCUUCCCACAGGCUUCAAACGCUUCACGGGAUACGUGUUGAUGAAGUAAAAUUGAUGCUGAAAAGGCUGUUUUCAGCUUCAGAAAACAAGAAAAGCGUGGAUAUGAGGGCCCUUUUCUUUGAGCUGAUGUUGAACGUGAUGAUGAGGAUGAUUGCUGGGAAGAGGUAUUAUGGGGAGAAUGUUGGGGAAGUUGAGGAGGCUAGGAGGUUUAGGGAGAUUGUAGAGGAGACGAUGAUAAUUGGUGGAGCUUCGAAUAUGGGAGAUUUCUGGCCGGUUUUGAGGUGGUUAAAAGUGGGAAAGAAGGAGAAGGCCUUGAGGGUUUUGCAGGAGAAUAGGGAUCAAUUCGUGCAGGAGUUGAUCAAGGGGUUUAGGAGUGCAAAAGAUGCAGAAAAUGGUGGCGGCGAUGCAGAGGAAACAGGGGAAAAGAAGAAAACGUUGAUUGAAGUUUUGUUGACCCUGCAACAGAAGGAGCCUGAGUAUUACAAGGAUGAAAUCAUUAGAAGCCUUAUGCUGGUAUGGUUACUCUGAUAAAUUUCUUUCUGGCUCUUCUUCUUCUUAUUAAUGUAGCUAAUUUGUUAUCAUUUCUAUGUUCCCUAGAAAAUGUCAAACUUCGAUUAAGGACAAAUUAAUAGAAAUUGAAAGUAAUUCGAAGAUUAAGUGACUAAAUCUAGAUGGCCAAAAUUUGCUUUCUUUGAGUAUAAAAUAUAAGCUUACUUCAGUUGUCGUACAGUAAUUCGAUUGCUUCCAUUAUUGUGCAAAGUUAUGAUGAAUAAGAAAAAUUCACUGGUACAGUUCAAGAAUAGAGUUGACCGCACGGUGUGAACAGGAGUAGAUCCCAACGUAUUGGGCGGGGGGCCCACUUUUCUUCGGUGUUGGCAUUUGACAGUGAAGCAGAAAGAAAGUAUGAUGUCUAGCCAACCGAUGUCUAAAGUUGGUUGACUAGAUUUUAGAAGCAAAUGUCACUGAUCAUGCUCUUCAUUCUACCGUUUACCACUUUCUUCUUCUUUUCUCAAGUGCAUUUCACCAUUGACCGCUUUCGUAUUGCAGGUUUUACUAGCAGCAGGUACCGAUACAUCAGUGGGAACAAUGGAGUGGGCAUUGUCACUAAUGCUAAACAAUCCAUCAACUUUGGAGAAGGCAAAAGCAGAAAUUGACAGAAUCAUAGGAAAAGAACGUUUAUUAGAUGAAUCAGAUGUGGCUAAUCUACCCUAUCUCCGGUGCAUAAUUAGUGAAACAUUGAGGAUGUUUCCAGCAGGGCCUAUAAUGCUACCCCACGAAUCCUCCGAGGAAUGUGUGGUUGGGGGUUACCGUGUGCCUGGGGGGACAAUGUUGAUUGUCAAUUUGUGGGCUAUCCAAAAUGAUUCCAAGAAUUGGGAGGAUCCAAGAAAAUUCAAGCCUGAAAGAUUUGAAGGGCUUGAAGGGACCAGAGAUGGCUACAAAUUAAUGCCAUUUGGUUCUGGUAGAAGAGGUUGUCCUGGGGAGGGAUUGGCCAUGCGCAUGGUUGGAUUUGCUUUGGGAUCAAUUAUUCAGUGCUUUGAUUGGAGCAGAAUCAGUGAGGAGAUGGUAGAUUUGGCUGAGGGGCCUGGACUGACUCUGCCUAAGGCUCAACACUUAGUCGCCAAUUGUCGAGCACGACCUGGAAUCAUGAGCCUUCUUUCUCAAAUUUAGACUGCGACGAGGAUGUAUCUUGACUCUUGAGAAAGGGUGGGCAGUAUUUGCCUCGUCUCUUCUUCUUGUUUGAAGAAAAAAUAUGUACUAGUAAAAAAAAAAAAGUCUUGUUUUAUAUAUUUCACUUGUUUCUUUAAGGGAAAAAAUGACGGAGUAAUUUACUUUAUAGUAGUUGCUAUUUGAUGACGCUAAUUUUUGAAUUUCCUUGUUUUAAGUUGGAAUUUUCACAGCACAAUAAUUAUACCUUGCAACUCCUAACUGAAAACAACUCAAACCAUAUAUUUAUUCAUUCUCCUAAUGUCCACACUAAGCAAUAUCUUAGUUGGCAACUUCUUGAUCCGAAAGUUUUCUUUAGUGUUGAUAAUCAAUGAGAGAUAAAAAAAAAUGAGUAUCUAAAAAUAUAAAGGUCUAUCUAUUUGGACAACCGUUCUUAAGACAUAUUUCAGAUAAAAAAAUACAAGAUUAAUUAGAAUAAAUAAAUAUAAAGAGGGGCAGGAAAGAUUAAAUAGACAAACAUAUAUAAGUACAAGGAAGGAUAAUAAUUGUAGUAAAUGUGUGUGUAUAUAUAUAUAUAUAAUAAAUUAGAUAAAUUUUAAAUGUAUUAACGAGUGUCUAGUAAACACCCGAAAAAAUCCAAAAUAUGACGAUUUUUUUCCGUAAGAAAACUCGAAUAUGAGACGUCUCAGUUGCACUUCGUCCCUAGAAACGCCCAACCAAUAUCCCUUCCCUUCUAAAGGCCGCUGCCGCUAGUGCUGAUGACCAGGGCAUGGUCGAUAUGAAAUCAGCCUUCUUCGAACUCACACUGAACAUUAUGAUUAGGAUGAUUGCUGGAAAACGGUAUUCUGGUGAUGGCUCAGGAAAAAUAGGGGGAGUCGCGAGCUUUCAAGAGAUGGUUAAAGAGAGUGUUAAAGUCAGCGGAUCAACAAAUGCUGCAGAUUUUGUUCCGCUACUGAGGUGGAUAGGGCAAAAUAAGCUUGAAAGUCAUCUGAAAACGUUGCAGAUGAAGAGGGAAAAGUUCCUACAAGAUUUGAUUGAAAAGCACGGAAGCAUCACCAGUCAUCGUGAGAACAAGACACUGAUUGAUGUUCUCUUAUCUCACCCAGAGACAGAACCAGAGUACCAUACGGAUCAAAUCAUCAGAGGCUUGGUUCAGGUGAGUCAAGUUUUAAGGAGAAUAGUAGAUCGGUCCCUCGAAAGUGCCAACAUUCCAUAAAAUCAAGUAUAUUAACAACCUAAGAGAAUCCACCUCAAGCGCUAGCUAGCUGUCAUACUUGAAGGGUAGGAUCAUAAGUUCAUAGCAUUAACUUCCCUGCUUUUUCAGCUUUUAACAAUCAGUCAAGAUAACUCAAAAGCAUGUAUCAUGUGUUAUCCGGUAUUGAUAGAGAUAAUAAAUCAAAUUUCGUCUAAUCUUAAUAGCUGAUAAUGUUAUCGGCGGGAAGUGACGCAACAUCUGGAACUAUGGAAUGGGCACUGUCAGUUCUGCGGAACAACCCAGAGGCUUUAAAGAAAGCACAAGAAGAAAUAGACUUUCAAAUAGGCCAAUCAAGGCUGAUAACUGACUCCGACCUUGGCCAGCUUCCUUACCUUCAAGCAAUAAUAAACGAAACCUUUCGUAUGUAUCCUGUGUCCCCUUUUAUCUCCCUGCAUGAAUCAUCCGAAGAAUGUACAGUUGAAGGCUUUGGUAUCCCUCGUGGGACAUUGCUCCUAGUGAACCUUUGGGCUAUUAAUUAUGAUCCUGAAAUAUGGGAAGAACCCACAAAAUUCAAACCUGAAAGGUUCAUGAACUUGGAAGAUCAGAGAUAGAGAUUCGAGUUUAUGCCAUUCGGGCUUGGCCGAAGAGGAUGUCCUGGAGAAAAUUUUGCUCGACGAGUUGUGGGGUUGGCAUUGGGUUCACUUAUUCAAUGCUUUGAGUGGGAAAGACCUGGGGAAGAAUUGGUGGACAUGAGUGAAGGAGCUGGGCAUACUAUGCCUAGAGCUCAACCGCUGCUGGCAAAGUAUAGGCCACCCCCUGAAAUGGUUAAGCUUCUUUGAGUUGUGAUCUGAGUGUUUGACAAUGUUUUCUUCCUACAACACCUAGACGACUGUGGAGAAACAAGUGAACAAGAAAACAGAGGAUGUCUCUCUGUACGUGUUUGUUUUAACUUUUAAUACUACUAUUUUAUCUCUUUCAACUUCGCUUUGUGUUGCUGCAAGAAAGUAUAAAAAAGCAAAGGGUUUACUCUAGUUUCUUGCUUUCUCCAAAGAUCCAGCAUUUUCAUGUGUGUUUCUAUUAUUUGUUAACCAAUGGUUCAGAAUUCAAUCGACGGAGAAGCAAAAUUUUGCCAAGCAUGAGAAAUUCCCAAAAUUCUGAUCAAAUUUAAAUUAUUUGUAAGAUGCUUUUGGUUGCAUGUUGUACUUUAGAGGGUCCUCACGUUCUGUAAUUUAGAGCUUUCUUGCAUUCUAUAACUGCGAGGUAAGGUAAGCAAAAUUUAAAUUGCCCCCAGGGCAUAUGGCGUAGCGGUUGAGGGGUCGGUCUUGAGUUGUUGACUUCUUCACUGAUUGGGGUUCGAUUUGUACCCGCUACGCUGCACAUCCUGACUCACCCGGGAAAACUGUAUGGAGCUAUCGGCUUCCCUCCAAUUUGGUAUGCCGGCUCGGGUCCAAAGGGUUCGGAUCGGGGCAUGUUCCGAAUUACCAAAAAAAAACUUAAAUUUUGAUCAAGUUUAUCUGCUUUGGAAAAACCCCAUUCAACAGGAGGUUGCCCACUGCAAAAAAGCACCCCUAUUGUACAAUUUUUCAAACAUCAUCAAAAUCUUGUUUUUGAGGUUUCAAAGCCGCUAAAUUGAACAUUAGCUCUGAAUCGGAUAAUUAUGUUCAAUGGUGAUGUUUUGCUGAUAAUUACUCUUUAGUUAGUCCAGUGCGCAUGUACGCAUAGUCCAUUCGAUGCCCGUGGGAAACAGGUGUUACAAGGUCCAUGCAUUUUUCAACCAAAGAUAAGUCAAAGAGCGAAUUGCGCGAAAUGUCACUAAACUAUUUCAAAGUGCCGGUUCUGAUCAUUAAACUUUUUUAUUAGCGCGAAAUGUCACUGAACUAGUAAAUCUAUACCGUUUUGGUCACUCCGUGUAUUUGUGCCGUUAGGAGAGACGGAAAUUAACUUUUUGAGGGGUAAUUUCGUCUACACAAUAGUUAAAAAAUUUAUGCCUUCAUUCUUCUUCACCCACAACCAUAGUGCUAUACCAUAUUUACAUUCCCAGCCUUCCCGUACGCAUCAAUCAUCACAGAAUAGGUAACCUCAUCCGGUUCACACCCAAAAGACGGCAUUUUUUCGAACCACUGGACGGCUUUCUCAGGUAAAGAAGACAGCCUGGCGCAGCUAAUUAUGGUGGAAAGGAGGAGUAUUGGACCAGCAAUCAAAGAAUCAAGAGAUGAAUUCGCUGAAGAAGGGUUCUUUUCGUCCUCUGGGGCUGCUGCUUGGCCUUGUACCUGUCCCAUAUCUCAUCGAGAUUGGAUGCUACGGAGAUGAAGUAAGAGGAAAAGGCAACAGCAGCAACCAAAAAAUUGGGAUGGACGAGAAUUUUGAAGUUGGAGUUGGGGUUGGGUGCUAUCUGCAACCCAUGUAAAGUUGUGGAGUGAUUUGCGAUUAAUCUGUUAAAUGUUAUUGUGCCAACUGCCAACAGAAUUGGAAUGGACAUCAAAGUCCAGUGUAGGCCGACGACGGACGGAGCUCUCUAUGCCCACCCACUUCUGCAACAAAACCACCGAACUUUACAUUUAAUUUCUCAUUCUUUUCACUCUUUCCGCAUCGUCAUUUUCGCCACUCCCAACCCCAGAGGUAUGUAAAGGUGACAUUAUCGGGCUUAACUCCUCUCUCAAUCAUAUCCGUAAACAAUUUCUCGGCUCUGUCCAAGUCUCUACAUUUUCUAAACACCUUGAAGGUAACAUUAUACAAAAUCACUUCUUUCUUCAACUUAAGCCUUUCCAGAAAGUAACUCAGCACCAAAGGCGCAGUUUCAGAGUUGGACAUGUUAUUGAGCACAACGGCAGCAUCUUGCUCUACAACUUUGCCACCCAAAUUAGCCAAAAUACUAAUAACGUCAGCUUCUACAGGGUCACACGAGUCCAAUUGUUGGGAAGCUUGGACUAAAGAAGCAUACCUGAAAUCGUAGGAAUUGCGCCUGAGCUUUGAUGCCCUGGAGCUGUUGGGGUUGACCCAGAUAUAGCUUUUUGAGGAAGAAGAGAUGGUUUUAGCAUCUGGGCGGUGAGGAAUUUGGGAAAUUGAGGGGGAUUGUUGUUGGGAAGCCGGUAUAGAGAGGGAAGGUUUUGGAUGGGGCUUGAGAGGAGGAAAAGCGAGGGCGUUAUGGGGGAUGAUUCUGAGUUGGUGGAGGUGAGUGGGAUAAAGAGAGUUACAGAAGAGGUGUGGGUGGCGAGAGAGAUGAGACGGCGAAUAGGCGGCGGCCACCAUUCUUCUCUCUACUCUUCUUCCUUCCUUCUCAGUCGUCACUCACUCAGCAGAGCAGUCAGCAGCAUUUGAAUUUUCUUCUUUUUUACAACUAUGAAAAAUUUCGCCUGCAUUUUUUGGUUGAAGUUUGAUGGUGCCGCCAUUCAGAUCAGCCAUCUCCUUUAUGUCUUUGCCGGAUACGGAACCAUUGAUUAUGUAAAAGCUUCAAGAAAAAGGCUGUGCUGACAAAUUUGCCCCUCAAAAAGUUGAUUUCCGUCUCUCCUAACGGCACAAAUACACGGAGUGACUAAAACGGUAUAGAUUUACUAGUUCAGUGACAUUUCGCGCUAAUAAAAAAGUUUAGUGACCAGAACCGGCACUUUGAAAUAGCUUAGUGACAUUUCGCGCAAUUCGCUCUAAGUCAAAAAAAUAUUUGUCUGCGGAGCGGAACUCCAUUUUCAUAUAAAAAAAAAUGCUGAAAGUCGCCAUAUCUGUUUCAGUACUACCACUCUACCAGUUCCAUCUGACAGCUCACGACCGCAAGGGGGGGAAAAAAGACAAAUAAAAACAAGGAUCUAUGUCAAUCGCAUGUUAUAUGAAAUCUUAACACAAGAUUUAAGAUUGCAAGAUAUCAGCUGAUACAAGGUGGCCUAAGCUGAAGGCGUCUUGCUCCCUAGAAGCUAUAUCACUGAAACAGCAGGGAAUUGUUUAGAAUAUUACAUUGGAUAAGCAUUUUUUUUUUUUUUUGGUAAAUAAAGAUGCAUUAAAAAUAAAUCAAGUCAACAGAGUGCAAAUUAAGGUACAGUCAUCCGUGGGGUGGAAACCCCCUUUAAGUCUUGCAAAAGUAAGGGAAGUACAAAAUUAGGACAUAAUUCAAAAAAAGUGAAGUCUUGAGUGUUGCUUCUUCCCCAGUUGGCAAGGAUGUCUGCACAUUUGUUUGCUUCUCUAUAAUUAUGGUGAAAACAUACUUUCUGGAAUGUAGUCAAUAGCUCCCUGCAAUCAAGAAUAAUAGGUGCAAGUUCAUGAGAAAUAAGAUUAUUUGACUUACACAAGGAGAAUAUAAAGGCAGAGUCCAUCUCCACUUCGAGAGAGUGGAUGUUGAGUUUUUUUGCAAGUUGUAAGCCUUCUCUAAGAGCCCAACAUUCAGCAGAAGGAACUGAACAGAAGCCUAAAUUUCUUGCAAAGCCCGCAAUCCAUAUCCCAUUUGAGUCACGAAUAAUGCCGCCAGCUCCUGCCUGGUUUGUUGGUCCAGAGACUGAACCAUCAGUGUUGAGCUUGGCGAAACCUAUAGCAGGGGGGAUCCAUCUGAUGAAUUUUUCUUGUCUAGGGGAUCUGGAGAAGUGAGAACCAGGCCCUAGUAGGCUUCUGUUCCAGAUGCACGCCUCCGAGCAAGGAUGUAAAUGAAUCUAACCAAACUGAACACCCUAGUAUUCAAGUUUAUUUGAUUAUUUUAACAAGUUUGUAAUUUUAUUCAAAUUUAAUUUAUUUAUUUAUCGAACCAAGUUUGUUUGAUUAUUUUACCGAAUUUGAACGAGCUAUUUAUUGAAGAGUGUGUUUGGAUAGGAGAUUAUUUGAAAUAUUAUUUAGAAUAAUUACUGUAGCACUUUUUGUAAUGUAAUGUAUGUAAAAUAAAAAGAUGAUUGAGAAGAUAAAAAGAUGUGUUGGAAAUUGUAUUUGUGAUGUAAGCAAAUAAUUUCUAGCCAUUAUUUGGCUAUCCAAACACACUGAAUAUAAAACGAUAUUCAAUCUUAAUUUGACUAGUUAGCAAAUCAAACUCGAAUGAACUCAAACCAAACUGAACUCGAUUCAAAUAUCAAGUAGAUUGAUUUAUCUUUCAACAUUUCGGAGUUGUUAUCCAUGUGUUUGAGAAUGUCAUCCUCCUGUAUUGUGUUUUGGUUUUUCAAGUCCCGAACGAUGUUUUUUUGUUGCAGCAAAGGAGGAAAGUUUUAGAGAGCUUAGGAUAUUACAAUAAAAUAGCAGUCAGGAGUAGCGAAGGAGGAAACAUAUGAUUCAGCCGAAAGGGGAACGAAAAGAAGAAGAAGAAGAAGAAGAAGAAGAGGAGAAGUUAUGGUUUUAAUUUAUUUGAAGAAUUGCCAUAUAUAUAUAUAUAUAUAUAUAUAUGUAUUUUAGGUAAAAGAAGAUUAUAUACUAGUAGUAGUUUGGAAAAAUAAGGAAUGCGAUCAUAAUAAGUAAAUGCAAAAAAGUUUGCCGUAAACUCCUUUGAGUGUUUGUAGUUGUCAAAGCUCUUUGUCAGGCUGCCCCCAGUGGUUCGAAAAUGUGCUGAGGACCUCUUUUGAACUAAUUUGUUACAUGGAUGGAAACCAUACGCACACCAAAAGAUUAGAAAUUUUCAUGCUAUCCCUUGUUUCUACAUUUAAUAAUAAUAAUAAAAAAAAGUGGAUGAGGCGUUGAUCUACAAAGUUGAGGUUUUAGAAUUUGGAGAUCUUGAAUUCAAUACUUAUCAAAGUGUGAGUCUCUAAACUUUGUGUUAGUAUUUAUCCCACCAUAUGUAUGUAGAUUAGUUGUAGUUCGAAAUAUUUGUAAUCUCUUAUAUUAGUCCUAUAGUUGUAGAUUAUACACGAUAUUAUCGAAGAAAAUAUUUAAAGAAGAAAAAAAAUGCAAUCUUAGUGCCCGAUAUGUAAAAUUGGUAACCACGAAACAAAUCUUGAUGAAUCCACGAAAUUCACCAUGAUCCCAAUAUAUGGGAAGAACCCACGAAAUUUAAGCCUGAAACGUUUGGGGGAUUCGUGUUUAUGGCAUUUGGGUAUGGUCAAAGAGCAUGUCUUGGUGAAAAUUUAGCUAGACAAGUUGUGAGGUUGGCAUUGGGCUCACUCAUUCAAUGCCUUAAUUGGGAAAGAAUUGGUGGAAAUGAGCGAAGGAGCUGGGUUUACUAUGCCAAGAGUUCAACCGCUGCUGGCAAAGUACAGGCCGCGCCCAGAAAUGGCUUCUUUCUGAGUUGUGAUCCUGGUGUUUUGGGAAUGUUCUUUGCCACCUGCACCACUGGGGAAUCGACUGUACGAGGAAAACAGAGGAUUUCCCACUGUAGUGCGUGCGUACCACGUUGGCUUACCACUACUUUUUAUAUUUUACCUUCACUUGGUCCAUAAUUUUUGCAGCUCAAGGAUGUGAAAAAGUCCGUGCCGUCCUGAUUCCAUUGUAAUGUAAGCUGGUCAAAGCUACAAGCCGGUUAUAUACGACGCUACUCCAAGAAAGGAGAAAAAUAUAAGCAAAGCAAGGAGGCCGUAAAGGAUGGAUAUCAGUAGCAGAUCAUUGACAGAUAAGAUACUAAUAUUCAAGAAUGAGAGGGCCGUAUCCCUUACGUCAAAGGAGUUUUGAAUCUUGAUUACUGAUACAUUCUUGAAAUAACAAUAAUGAAUUACUAGAUAAAAUAGGCAUACGGCAUAAGUAUCAUUCCAACACUUUGGAUUUAACCUCGAUCUCUAUGGAUGCUUCAUACUGCUACCUCCUGCUUUUUCCCUUCCUGUAUUUACUUACCAAUCAAAUCAUCAAAAAGUUCCGGAAUCUCCCACCAAGUCCACCUCUUUCCUUACCCAUAAUUGGCCAUCUUCAUCUCAUCCAGAAACCACUCCACCGAGGACUAGCUAAGAUCUCCGAUAAAUAUGGUCCAAUACAGUUUCUUCAUUUUGGUUCUCGGCCUGUCCUGCUUGUAUCUUCACCCUCAGCUGCAGAAGAAUGCUUCACCAAGAAUGACAUAAUCUUCGCUAAUCGGCCAAGAUUUCUCGCCGGAAAACACCUUGGCUACAACUAUACAACUCUGGGAUGGGUCUCAUAUGGCCAACACUGGCGCAACUUGAGAAGAAUAGCUACUGUGGAGAUCUUAUCUGCUACCCGAAUUCAAGCUUACACGAGCAUCCGUGUUAACGAGGUCCAUUCAUUGAUCAAGUACCUUCUAAUGGCCUCUAAAGCUAGUGACUCUAGCACGGUUGAGAUGAAAUCGGCCUUCUUUGGGCUGACACUUAACAUCAUGAUGAGGAUGAUUGCAGGAAAGCGAUACUACGGCGAUGAUGCCCAGAACAAGGAGGAAGCCGCAAGGUUCAAAGAGAUAGUUAAAGAGACUUUUCAACUCAGUGGGGCGACAAACAUAGCAGAUUAUAUUCCAUUAUUGAAGUUUUUUGGGCAACAGAAGCUUGAAAGCAAGCUGAAGACUUUGCAGGCGAAGAGGGAUCAAUUCUUGCAAGAUUUGAUUGAAGAACACAGAAGAACCGUGAGGAGUUCCGACAGUGAGAAGGGCAACAAAACAAUGAUAGACGUUCUCUUGUCCCUCCAACAGACCGAGUCCGAAUACUACACAGAUGAGAUCGUCAAAGGUAUGAUUGUGGUAAGUAACUAUUUAAUCCUCUCGAUAUCUUAAUCCAUCCGUCUGUUAAGCAUACAGAAAUUCUGAUCUUUGUCUGGGAUCAGUCCCAUGAAGGAUUGAGUCUGAAAAUCUAAGUCAAAGCUAGUUUGAUUGCACUAGUACCAUCUCCGUGUUGCCUUGCAUUUUUUAUUGAGCUGUAAUGCUAUGUUUCCUACACGUAACAAUUCUAGGGAUAAUUUCAGAAACCUCCCCUGAGAUUUCUAACAGUUUCACUGCCCUUCUCCGAGGUUUCUAAAAUAUCAGAAACCUCCCCUACUAGGUCAUUGGGGUCCAAUUGUCACAUCAAUCAUGGAAGAAUGACUUAAUUACCCAUACAACUUAAGAGGUAUUUCCCAAUUAUGUUCACAUGAUUAGUUAAACUGUUAUUAACUAGAUUUAACAGAAAUGAUGACAAUUUAUAAGUUUUUUUAAAAAAUUUCUAACAUGCCAUUACAAAAAGGGGGCCAUAUAUAGGCACCUUUCUAUGAUUGAUAAUUGAUGUAUGCGAGUAGAAGCAAUGAUUCAAACUUUAGUGUUUUUUGUGGAAUAAGAGAAAUAGAGCUUCUUUAGGUAUAUCUAAGGAUUUAGGAGAUUUGAAAAGGAGAUUUGCUCUUAAAUUUUUUUCAAAAUUUUGGUGAUUGUGAAAAUUUCAAGAUCAGCCUCUAAGAUUUUUCUGCUAUUAAAUUUUGGAAAUUUUUAUUAUUUGAUUGCAGUUGUUAAGGUAAUUCUUGAUGGUGAUGCUUAAUAGUGACCCUACAAGUGAAAAAGAAUAGUUUGGAUCAAACAAAAAAAGGAAAAUAUGAUUUUAUGUAGUUUGUAUUAUGUUCGGUAUGAUCUGCUCCAUUUGAUGAUUGGUAUUUAAUUAUAGUGUUUUUUCUUUUUUAUCCUAAUUAUUACUUUUAUUGUCAUCGAAAUUAGGUGCUGGUUUUGUAUGAAAUAUACGUAAAGAUUGUUGGUUGUAUGCUACUAAAUUGAAAAACCUUUUAAUUAUGACAAUUUUUUUCUUGUUUGUGAUUAUUCAACAAAUGUUUUUUUUUAAAUCGAAAUGUUGGUUGUAAUAGGAUUCACAUGCUUUGUUUCUCUUGUAGGAGAUUAUGCAAUUGAUGUGUUAUAAUAGAUGUAAUAGUAUGAUAUUACACAUGCAAUAUGUAGAUAAGAUUUUGAGUUGCUAAACUUGUUGUAGAGUUAGUAAAUUGAUAUUUUGUUUACGCUCUAUGAAUACGGUAACAAUUACACCGUCUCAAAUUUGAUAAAGUUAAAAUAGAUAUAUAUUGUUCGUAGGAAAUUAACUAUCUAAUGCAAAACUUGAGGGUAGUUAUGGAAUUUGACAGGUGCCGAACUUGUGCAAUAAUAAUUACUAAAAAGUCCUAAUUACCAUCACAAUUAAUUAUAGAACGAAUUCAAGUACUGGAGCAGGACCCUAGGUGAGCAAUGGGUUACUUGAUUCACCAUGUUCCCAAAGAGUUUGCUUGAUCCGAUAUACCAGAAUUGUCUAUAAAAAUACUAAGUUUGCAUACAAUGGCAAGUAGGGUCGAUUCCACAAGGAACGGGUAGGAAGUUGUUUCCUUCCAAGUCAAUAGAAUAAAAAAGAGGGACAAUUAAUGGGAUGAAACUAAAAAUAAAAUAAAUAAAAUUCAAGAGCUAACUCAACAACAAUUUAGUAAAAAUAGCAAUUAAUAAAAUUCUACCCAAAUGAUUAACUGCUCAGGCACGGUCCAAUUAAAUGAUCAUCGAUGCAAAGAUAUUUCAUUCAUCUGUCAUUAGGUUGGUUAUAGCUAUCAACAAGCUUUGACAACCAGUUCUUCCUUACUUUUUCGACAGUCAAGGUACGACCAUUGACUGUUUCUCUAACCAGAAAACAACUCUAGGUACGACCGUAAGAAUUUAAUUAUCCAAUUGGAUUAAAACUAGAAGAACCCAACCCUGAUCAAUAAGCACGCUAAGAGGGUUUAUUUAAAUCAGAUCUUACGUUUCUCCAACAUAAAGCCAAUUAUGGUGGUUGUUACUAGUUGUCAACUAAACGAAUAAUUACGGAUUCAAUUUAAUUAACGUGGCAGUAGGCUAUUAUGUUAAAUCAAAUACCCGACCGUUGAUAUCCAAUUAAUAAAAUACUCAUGAACAAUUAAUUCAGGAAACGUACGAAUAGCAAUAAGUUGGAAGAAAUAAUGAAAAUUCGAUUAGAUGUUACAGAUAUUAUGAACCGUGCUUUCGCGUCGACCUUCGGGUAGAGGAGAAAUCUAGCCGCUCCUUAUCAUAUCCAUCUCGCGUGAUUUAAUUGAAACCAUUCAAUUAAUUCCCGAAAAAUUGGGAAAGAUGAAACAACGAGGAAAACGAAUAAAAGGGCUUAAGUAUCUCUUGGUCUCUGUGUUUGUACUGGAGCAAGAAAGUAAAAGUAAAGCACUAGAGAAAGUCGGCUGCCAAAAGACAAGAGCCAAGCCGCCCGUAAGAAAUUGUCUAAUAGGAAGAGACAAAAGCUACAACUAUGAAGGUCGCGUGAUUCUGGCUUCUUAAUUGCUGCCGAAGAGAAAAAAAGGAAAAGAAAACGUCUGACACUAAAAAGCAAAAGCUAAUCUAAUUACAAAGACGUAAAUCUGGCUUUUUUCCUCUCUUUUGUAGCGGCGCCAGGAGAAAUCCACGAAAGGUCAGGAGCAAAGCUUUUCUUUUUGGGGUUUUAAUCCCAUGCCUCUCGUGGUUCACGUGGACCCAACCUCCUAAUUGCUCACUUUUUGCUGCCACCAAGCUCGCGGGUCCGGCUUUAGAUAUAUCUCCUCACUUUCUGGCGUGGCACGUCAUGAAACAAAGAGUCUUUUGGAAAUUUUUCUCGCGCGAUCACUUUUAACACCAAUCACCUACAAUUGAUACAAAUAUGAAAUAUGAGCAAAUUCUCAAUUCUUAGCAUCAUGAGUAGCCAAAAUUAGGACAGAAUAAUAGUGCAAAAUAUGCCCAAUAAUUGCUCUAUCAGAAUUAAAUUGUUUUCUCUCUUCUAAUACCAAUUUUAUAUUAUUUUUGUAUUUGAAUUGGGCUGAUUGUUACUAGCUAAUUAGCUUUAGGGGUGGUUUCCGAUAUUUUGAAAACCUCAGUGAGAUUGUCAAAAACCUCAGGGGAGGUUUCUGAAAUUAUCCCAUAAUUCUAUCUACGUCUAAUACUAUUUAUACUAAGAGGGUUGCUCACGAUAAAUGUUCUAACAUUAUCAUACACCUCCUCUUAUCCCUUCAUUUGUAUUUCUAUCUUAUUUACAGAAUCAAGAUAAUAGUAUAAAAAAUUCAAUCCCAUUGUACUAUUGAAUCAUGACGUGCAGGAAAAAAGGAAGAAGUAAAGAUAAAACGAAUGAGUAGCACAGUAUUCACCUUUAAUCCAUGCUUUAGACUAGCAGAAAAUAAUGCAAAUUUUGUCAACAGCAAAUGUUAUCAGCGGGAACCGACACAUCAUCCGGAACAAUGGAAUGGGCACUCUCCCUGCUGCUCAACAAUCCACAAGUUCUAAAGAAAGCCCAGCAAGAAAUUGACGCGUACGCUGGCCAAUCAAGGCUUAUCAAUGACUCGGACUUGGGUCAGCUGCCUUAUCUUCAUGCAAUUAUUAGUGAAACACUUCGCAUUUGCCCGGUGGCCCCUAUUCUGGUGCCUCAUGUGUCAUCCCAAGAGUGUUGUGUUGGAGGCUACAAUAUCCCCGGUGGCACGUUGCUGUUAGUGAACUUAUGGGCAAUGCAAAAUGAUCCCAAGGUUUGGGAAGAACCCACAAAAUUUAGGCCUGAGAGGUUUAUAAGUUUGGAAGGGCAAAGAGAUGGAUUUGUGUUCAUGCCAUUUGGGUUUGGCCGAAGGGGAUGUCCUGGCGAAAAUUUGGCCAUGAGCGUUGUGGGGUUGACAUUGGGGUUGCUUAUUCAAUGUUUUGAGUGGGAAAGAGUUGGGGAAGAGUUGGUGGAUAUGACUGAAGGGGCAGGGCUUACCAUGCCAAGGGCUAAAGAAUUGAUGGCCAAGUGUAAACCACGGCAAGAAAUGGUCAAACUUCUUUCUCAAUCGUGAUUGGGAUUUCAGAAGUUGGUACCUCUAAGAAAAAAACCCAUCGCAGUGAUGACAACAUUGUGAACAAAGUGUGCUUGUUUUGCCAUUAUUUUUGUGAUUCUAUACCUUCUUGUAUGUGGAAUAAAGGAUUUGAUUAAAAGUUUAAAAUACGGUUAGAGACACCUUAUUUUAAUUUAGUACGUUUUAUUGUAGGAAUAGAUGCAUAUGCAUACCUUUUUAUUUUGAUAGGUGAAAAUAAAACAACAAAAAAAAGACUUACAAAUAUGUUAGAUCUUCAAUGUUCAUGAAUAAAACUCUCUCUCUUUUUUUUUCACUUUUACUUCCUUUUGGAAAAGAAUUAAAACUCUUCUUUUUUUUUUUUACAGUUUUUUAUUUGUUCAUGAUGUGGGAGGUCUAUGUUCAUUUGAAAUCAAGAGCUCACCCCAACUUUUGUAGAAACUAGAGGGGAAGUUAGUGUAGUUUACCAACAAGAUACGUGUCUACUUACUUGAAUAACCAGUAAUAAGAUUUAAGGAAGAAAAACUUGGGCUACUCCAGUUAGCAAUGCCCAAGUAUCAAAAAAUGAAGAGCCCAAAUUCAUGUGAAAAUGUAUACAUGUUCUUGGUUAAUUUCACAAUAAACUUGUAAUCCUUUUUUUUGGCAAUUCAAAUUAAAUUCCAUUUUGCCUUUGGAUAUAACCAAGAGUUAUGUCCCUUUUAAUGAAUCUAGUAUAUUUUGGAGGGCUUUACUACUUCAAAUUUUUUUUUAAAAAUUUUAUCAGUAGUAAUCAUGAAAAAUAAAUCAUUUUCAACUAUGUAGUACUGAAAGAAACAUGCGACAGAAAAGAGUGGCAUCUCCAUAUAUUUUCUGAGCGUCAAAAUAAAAUUAUAAACUUUCUACCACUAACUCUUUUAUCUAAACCAUGCAAUUUUGCGUGCAUCAAAAUAGCGUAAUUAUUCAGUUUUCGUGUAAGGAAAUGAAAAUCUUAGGACUUGCUAGGAAAAACAUGGCGGUCUGGCUUCAGUGAAAUAUUUUUGCUAGAAAAUGUCGACUAACUUACCUACCUUUUAAUUCUUAUACUCUUUUCGUCCCAUUGAAAGUGUUAUACUUUUAUUUUAGAAUGUCUCAAAAUAUUUGUUCUGUUAAUAAAGUCAAAAUAUAUUUUAGUCUCUCUCUUCAACAUAGUUCAUCUCUCUAAUCAUAUACACGUUACCAUUCAAAUUCAAAUGUUGAAUUUGUAGGAAUAAAAUUGAAAAGAGAAGCACAAACAUCACAAUCAAACCACUAUUUUUAAAAAGUUUGAUUUUUGAAACAGAACCAAAUAAUUAGGACGGAAGGAGUAUAAACUAAAAUGAAAAAGGAAGUCUAGUGAUAAUUGAACCGUCAAAUAUCAUAAACCUUUUCAUAAAAUUGCUGGCUGAUCAGUAUAGCAAGUAGAUGAUGAUGCUUGUGUAGUUGCUAUCAUCCUUAGGUAUGAAAUUUUUCAUGAAGACCCCUUAGUAAUAAGUUUCUGAAUAGCUUCCCACAAAAGUUUCCGGGAGGUAAAUUAACAAUCUUUUGCAUUACUUUGGCCCCGGAGACAUGACAAUAAUAUCUUAGACGAAAGAACUUAGCCCCGACAAAUAUCAUGAACUUAUUGACAAUAGGUGGCUUAAUUUGUAAGAAAUAAAAAAUUAUUUAAAAAUAAGAAAAAAAAAUUAUUUAACGAAAUGCAAGUAACAUCUUGAACGAUUUUUCCUUAUUAACUCACAAAGUUAAGUUCCACUGUGGUACUUGCCAAUGGAACAAAGUUGACAGCAAAUCUUGUUGGUUGAAUGAGUCUCCUGACACAGCGUAUUAAGCAAUAAGCAUUCAUUGGUAUACCCAAACCUAUUACUCUGUAUAAGUGUACGUAUCAUAUUCACCCGUACCGUACGUCUCUUUCUACAUUUAGACACUCCCAUAUUUCUAUAUUAAUUUCACUUUUGCUAAAGGAUUACUGGGUAAAGUGUAAAGCACGGCAAGAAAUGGUUAAACUUCUUUCUCAAUUGUGAUUUGUGGGACUGUUUAACUGUCAAAAUUAAUGUGAAAACGUAUGAGAAAGUAGAAUCCUCGAAAUCCUUUAUUUUUUCAAAAUUUAGUUUUUUAAAUACUAAAAAUUUUUAAAAAUACUCUAAAAAGUAAUCUAAAUUUUUUUAAUGUUUAAAAAAUAUUCCAAAAUAUAUUUUAAAAACUCUACUACUCUUAAAUAUUUCAAAAUAUUUUCUAAAAAUAUUUCAAAAUAUACUCUAAAAACUCUGCUACAGUAAAGUUUUCAAAAAAUAUCUCAAAAAACAGCUAAUCCAAACGGAGUAAUUGAUAAACCCUAAGACAUUUAGAUGGUGAAGAAAAAGUAAAAUUAACACCACUCUUUUAACUGUUGGAAUACUUUCAAGGUACUAAAUUAUACCUUCUUAGUACCACUCGAAAGAAAGAAAAACAAGCCUUGGAAAGAAAUAGUAUCUAGAAUAAAUCUACUGCACAAUUUGGGAAUUAUUCAUCAUUCGAUCAAGUGAUGAAUAAAUCAUACGCAAGUUCAUGUAUUAGCAGAUUAAUUAUUGAAUCUAUUCAUAAAUCAGAGGAUUGCGACACAAGGAAACUUGCAGAAUUGGACAACUAUAUGGUCCCGAAGAAAAGAAAUUGACUUGCUUCAAGAUUUCCACAAACUUGGAGCGGGGGGCGAGUGGUGACGGACGACUAAGGAACUCAAGAAAGUUAAAAUAGCCAAUUACGCAAAGUUUUGGAUCCAUUAGUUGAUUGACUGACUUCUAUUGCUAGCCGGUCAAUGCCCCCUUUUAUAAAUCAACAAGAACUUUUCCAUGGAAAAUGUGUCUCUCAUUUUGGCCAAAAUUUCCGAAUCAAUACCUUCAGUCUCCGGUCAAAUGAAGUCGUAACUUGAUAAGCUUACAAGACUUUCGUUUUCCUUCUAGAAAAAAAAAAAGAAUAAAAUAAUUCCCUUGCCCUUCAACAACCUCAACAAUAAGGUUCACUAUGAGAGAAAUUUUUUUUCCAUCUAACACACUUACGUUACUCCUAAUUCAUUGCAUAAAUACGUACAAUCACAGUUAUUGAACUUAGUAUAUUUUAGUAAUUUUUUAAAUUAAUUAUCUUAUUUUUAAAAAAUUAAUACCUGAGACUCUUAUUAACGAGUGUCGACUGAAUACCUGAUAUCAAACCGAUCGAUGCUGUAGAUAGAGAAUGGUUGUUUGCAUGGAAACCAAAUCUUUUUUUUUUUUUUUUUAUUUGCUCCUUCCCCUCUUAUACAACCACCAUAUGUAGAAAGUUGAGUUCUUGGAAUCCUCCAGUGACACAGGUAUGCUGGUAAGCAAAGCACUUGAAUAUCUUCCAGAAGAAAGAUAUGUCGCGCAGCCUUAAUUGACGAAGUAAUCUCGUCAACUUUUUUUUUAAAAAUUUUGUACUGUAUAGAAAUUCCCCGGAGUUGGAGGGGCAGUUGCUUCUAAUCAAAAUAUGCUUCACACUUCACGCCACACGCACACGGUUAGGACCAGAAGUCUCAUAUGCCCUUUUCGGUGCAUUUCGUCUAAAUUCUUUUGUAGCGUGAGAAUUUAUUUAUUUAUUUAUUUUUUAAAAAUGGCUACCUAUUUUUAUUGCUUAAUUAACGAUGCUUUCGGUGCGUUUGAGUUUUCAAGAAAAUGAAUUUGAAGAGUAACAAACAUUAAGAUUAUUUGAAAUAUAUUAUUUUUUUUAAAAAUACUGUAUGAGAUAAAAAGUUGAUGCACUGACAGUAUAUACACUUUUAUCAUUAUUAGAUGCAUGACACAUAAUUUGAAUUUAAAUUUGAAACUCAAAUUUUGCAUAUGUGUCGUAUAUCCAACCGUAAUAGUGUAUACAUCGUUAGUAUACAUAAGAUUUACUCUUUGAAGUUUUAAUCUAUCCUUUGGUUUCCCAUUCUCGUGACAAAAGCACAGCUGCGCGAAUCAGUAAAAUUGGACGUAGUAAUUUGCUGUAAUGUGCAAAACCGAACUUACCUCCAUUUAGGGUUCUUGUCUAUAGAUUGACCAUGUGGUUCGGCAACACUUUUAGUGCAAAAAUUUUCAGCAUGCAACAGUCGUCCAUAGCUUAAGUGAGUUAGGCGCAGCACAUUGUUUGGCCCCGUUCCAUAUGACUUCAUUUCGUUGCCAACUUUUCUUGGAGGACUGGAAUCUCAUUAAAUAGAUCCAGCACGAUUGGUCCACGACAAUUAUUUGGUUCUGCUUUGCUGUCGUGAACUUGUGCAUUGAUUCUGUGCUUUAAUUUCUCUUGAUUUGUAGAAAAUUUGCUAGUUUUUAACUGCAAGAUUUUGUUACUCCGAAGAUUUUUAAUUUUUAUGCAGGAAAAAAAAACGCACUUCCAAACUCUGGGUACAAUAUUUGAAAAAAAAAAAGGGUAGAUGACAGGUAAGCUAAGUAGUGGUUUAGUGCCACUAUUGAAAUGUAAAAACCUCCAACCCUACACUUUUCCGACCCAUGCACCGCUCCCCGUGCCCGAACCCAAGAAGAUUUGUACAAGAAAACAGAAAAACUUUGGUGGGGUCUUGCUCGCACUAAUUUGUCACGAUUAAAUGUAUUCUUGUUUAAAAAAUUCAUGCAGAUGUGUAGUGCAUUCGUCUGAUCUGGUGGUGAUUUAAUCCUCUUCGAAUUAUUCUUGAACCUCUUCAGGUCCUAUUCCUCCUCCAUACUAUAGGAAGUUAUCGUAUCGAAAAAAAAAAAACAGAAAAAUCUCAACUCAUUAGCCUUAUUUAAUUUGAUUUGAAGCAUAAUUUUCUUGAAGAAGAGGGGCCGGGCCACACUGAUUGUAUUAGAGCAUCCACAAUGCUAUUACACUUUGUGGAGUGUAAUCCACAUGCCACGUCAGCAUUCCACUUUCUCCUCUUUUAUUACACUUUCACUCACAAUGGAUUACACUCCACAAGGUGUAAUAGCAUGGGUCCACAAUUAAUCAAAUAUUUAUUUUAAUAAUGCAUAACUCAUAUCCCAUAAAUAAAUAAAGUAAUUUUUAAAACUAAUUUUGUUAUUUUUAAAAAAUAAAGUACUAACUUUCGUUAAAUUUUGUACAUUUUGAAUUUUUUUAUUUUCUAAAAAUGAUAUUAUUAAUUUUUAAGUUUGAAUAAUAUAUCUUUUUCUAUGUUUCAAAAAUAAUAUAUUGUUAUUUUUUAAAAAAUAAUUAUGUAGGAAAUUAAACAAAUAUUUGAUACUUCAAAUGCGAAGAUAUCAUAAUAAUUCAUACUUAAUUAAUAAUUCGGAAUGUAAUUAGUUGAACUCCAUAACAUAAUAUUACAUAAGUUAAAUCAAAUAAAAUACAAAUAAUAACAAAAUGAAUACUAAUUUUCAUUGUCAUUGCCUUCGAAUCGUUCCCAAAUAUGCUCGACCAAGUCUGAUCGAAGUUGAUCGAAGUCUGAUCCCAAAUAUGCUUUGUGCUGGAAUUUUAUCGUUGUCAUAGGGCCCACAUUCAAUGGAUUACACGCAUCAUACAUGUGAUGCGUGUAAUCUCCAUGACACGGCUCCAGCGGUGUAAUGGCUCCCCGUUACUGAUUACACCCCCAUUGGAGCUGCCCUUAUGUAUAGUAUAGCUCGUAAUGGUUUUAAUCUACUCAUAACAAAUUCACUCUCCCAAACUCAAAAGUCAUCUUUGUAUAUAGAAUUUAGCCAACGAUUAUAAUUGCACAUUUUAAUAGGAAGUUUCAUAGGCUGGCUGUCAAUUGCAACCUUACAAGAAAACGAGAUGAAGACCACUCAGAGUCACAAGUCCAACAAUAAAUCCACUAACUCUCAUUAAUUAAACCCCAUCCAUCAUUCAAUCCCAAAUAAACCAGCAAGAAAUCCGCAACUAUCCAUGGAAGCCUUGUGUCUCUACCUUCCACUUUUCCUAGCAUUAUACAUCUUCACCAAGCACUUCCUCAACAAAAUCCGAAACCUUCCACCUAGUCCCAUCCUUAAUCUCCCCGUCCUCGGCCACCUCCUCCUCAUCAAGAAGCCUCUUCACCGAGGCCUAGCCAAGAUUUCCAACCGUCAUGGCCCGGUCCUCCUCCUGGAAUUCGGCUCACGCCCAGUCCUCCUUGUCUCCUCC